GGCCUCAUGGUCCAGAGGUACGAUACUUGCUUUGGGCUGGCUGAUGUACGCAACUGCAAGUGACCUGGGUUCGAUUCCCGGUGAGGCCC